UCCUCCGCUGUCAUGAAGAGCUGUGGAUGAAGGAAGCCGGUGAGGGUGUUGUGGAGCCAGGAAACCCCACUGCGCUCUUAGGGAAUGGCUCUAUCUGGAAACUGCUCCACAGGCUGGAGAGGCCUGGGUUUGUGGCAGAAGCACACUUUAGAUAAAUUGCUUUUGUUGGCAUGUUAGAUAUAUAAUUCAUGUCCUUAUGCAUGUUGGAGGAGCAGAGGGUGCACAGGGCCGGAUCCGAAUGGUUUAUUCCUCAGUUGAGCUCAUUCCCUCGUGCCGUGUGCUGUCCCCUCCCCGUGGCGUCUCCCUGCACUGAGAUGGAGGCAAAGCAGCAGGGAGUGUGUUAGACCUGGCGAAACAGCAAAGCUGGUACCCAUCUCCCUCUGCGUUGUGCUGGGAGAUCAGAAGGGAUAUUGAAGCUGCGGAUGUGUUCACUCCUCCACAAGACCCGGGAAGACAUUUCUGGCCCCGGCUCAGCCCUUGGCGUCGCAGGGAUGGCCACGGCAGACCCAUCCCCAGGCACAUCCCUGGCAGCAGCCAAGGCACAACCCCGAAGAUCCCCUCUCCCCUCCUGCCUAAUCCCAUUCAGACCCUGUCCUCCACUUCUUCCAGGCGAGACUGGAAGCGUGAGAGACCGGCUGCUUCGUUUAAGGCUGAAUAGAUUAGCUCUCACCCUGGGGAGCAGCUCGCUCAGCUUGCACUGGAGAUAAGCGGGGCCGUGUCCUCCCUGCCGUCGGACUCCUUGGCAGCUGGCGGAGCUGUGAUUAGCCUCCAUUUAUGCAAGCUGUUAAGCAAACACCUGCGAGGUUCAGGGACAGAGAAGCCAAGUCAUUUUUGCAAGCAAAUAGUCACGUUGCAUUAAACAGAGAACAUUUUCCUUUCUAUUUGUGGUGCCUUUUAGAGGUCUGAGGCAUCUCUGGUCCCUGUGAAGUUUGUAGGGGUGCAAGGCAGAGAGGUUGCUGUGGGCAGCAGGAGCAGCGGUGACUCUGGCAUCGUGGGAUACUCUUGUGGCGCUGAGCUGAUUGCUGUGAGCACAAGCACGGUUGUGACUUCUGGGAUUGCUGCUUCAGCUGACAAUUUCUAAACUUGUUCUGCUCUUAUUGCUUUCUCGGCUGUUCGCAGUUCUCUGUAGUUCCCCCUAAUCUCCUGCAAUAGACCCAUCGUUAUUGCCGGCGGUGUGAUGGGAAGCGUCACAGCGGCACCGGGAUGCUGAGAUCUAUCCGAGUGUUAAUAAAAGGGCUUAACGCAGAGAAAAGGAAAUCCUGCUCCUGCGGGGACCUUGCCGAAGAGCCUCAUCUAAUUAACCUCGGAGGCGAUCGCUUACAGUGGUGUUGUGCACCAGCAAAGAGCCCAAAAAUAGUCUCCAUCCAAACGCAGCUGGCAGGCAGGCAGCUUUCCGCCUCGGAAAGCCUGACCCGAUCUGAGCCGAGAAGGGCAGAACAGGGCUGGAGUAGCAUUACCUCUCCAGAAGUUUAACUCAGAUUGCAGGGACGUUGCUGCGUAUGAACACAGGUGUUUUCUCCCGGCAGGAUCCCUGAGCCCCAGUGCGGACUCGGGCGGUUGGUCUGUGCUGGCGGCUCUCUGGCAGUGGAUCUGCCUCAUCUGCAGGGAUGGUGUACACAUAACUCUGGGAGACGGAUGGAUUUCUUCCUCCCUGAGCAUUUCCCUCCAGUCCUACAGGAAUUCUUUCAGUGAAAGCCUUUGCUCGCUUCUUCACAGCUACCUGGAGAAACCUCGUCCUCUCAGAUAAAGGACGCGUCAGUAUUGCUGUCACCCACCACUGUAACACAUCCCCUCCCUCGUGGCCGCGUGACGGUGAGAUCUUCAGCGACCGAGCAACCUGCUGGGCUCUCCUCUGUCCUGUCUCCACUGUGCCUUACGGUGUUCAUUCUUCCCUAUAUUUUUGCAGUCAGUUUGCCAAGUCCUUUCCACAUACAGGAGAAAAAAGGAGAAUAGCUCUGUAAUUCACCCCGGACGCAAGCAGCUGGCGGCAGGAGCCCAGCCUCCGGCCCCACGGCCCCUUGAGCAGAUCUCCUGGCGGAGCAGAGGCAGGUGCCCAUCCUCCCCGCUGGCAGCCUCGUCUGGGAACACAGGGAUGCUCCUCUGGGCAGCUGUGAAGAGCUUGGGGCAGCCAAGGGGUUGGAGACAGAAUCCCAUGGGGUUAAUUUGGGGUUUAGAGAGUUGCUUUCCACUUAAAUUGCCCAAAUUGAGUAUUUCCUCUUUCAUAUUAUUUUUCAAAGAGACCGAGCUUUUCCUCAGCCUCGAGGGAAAUGUGCUUGGAUCCAUUUCUCUCCCAAAGUCUCACAGCAAUCCUGCCUAUAAUUUGGGGUCUUUUACAUGAACUAAAAAUAGCUGCGGUGUUUGUAGCUCUGCGGUAAGCUGUUCCUUGCUCUCGCUGUACUUGCCUUUAGGCUGCCUUGUAGGUACAUAUGUUCCUAAAAUUCCUGCUCCACUCUAGGUGCUUUUCUGCUUCUGGCUUAAAUCUUGCUUGUCUAGGGAGGAAACGGGGGAGAAAUAGCUAUUUAUUGAUCUGUGCACUGCUGGUGAGAAGGGGGCCGGACCCUGCCCCUCGUCUGGGAGGUCAGGGAUGCAUCCCAGGGCGCUGGGAGCUGGGUUAAUGCAGCGUGCUGGCUCCUCUGCUCUGGGAGAGGGGGGAUUUGCUGCCUCCCUGCGCUGCCUUCCCUCGUGGACCCCCUCCAGGCAGGGGAAUUGGCCUUUCACCGCAGCAGAAAGGCAGUUGCAGAGCCGUGGGCACCCUCGCUGCCCCGCUGGGGGAUGCUGGCACAGCCUGGCACAUUCUAGAUUCUGCCCUUGGUGUUCGGGAGGGUGAGUGAGCAGGGAGUGAUGAGGAGAGUUCAGCUGCGUCCCUCCUCUGCGUCAGGAGCCGUUUGUGGUUUGCUCUGGAGAGCAGGAUGCGGCCCUGUGCCUGCUAAUGGCUUGGAAAGCCUGUUGGGCAGAGAGCUGUCGGGGAAGGGAGCAGGGAAGGGAGCAGGCGUUCCUGGGCUGCUGCUCUGCUCUGUAGGAGGAAAGGCUUCAAACAGCAAUUAACUGUCGCUGCCAUUUCCAGAGAAACAGCUCUUGGCGCGCUGGACAAUGGGCUGCAGGAAGCAAACAGGUUAAAAGCCCUAAUUCUGCUAGGAUAUAUUUAGGUGGAUAUUUUUCUUUCAAAGGAACGUAGGUUAAAAAGGCUCUGACUCCUUUAAAUAGGCUUUUCUUCCCUUAACCAGCUCUGAGCUCCAUUAAGAGCACGGGCUGUUCCUUCCACCCAGCCGGGACGGCUGUCCUGGUGCUCGUGACACACGCUGAACACAGCGGAGCUUCCUUCCAGCGGCGCGCGGGGGAUCUGCAAACUGCCCCUCAAGUUAGCAGCAGAGGGGCUGAAAGAAAAGGGCCAAUUUUCCCUUGACAGCUACCAAAAGAAAAAAGUUAUCUGCCGCUGCCUGCUGGUUAUAUUAUUUAUUCUGUUAGCUGAAGCAUAGCAGUGUAAAAGGUAAUUUAGUCUGGGUUAAAGCAGCACAAUACAAAACUCAUUACCAAGCCGGAACCAUGUUCUCCUGCUCCUGCUGCCUUGCCUCGAUGUCCCUGGGUCCCUCUUACGGCACAGGCUGGGGCAGCAGUGGACCCACAGAGGAGAACCGGUGCCAGUAAAGCCUCGGUUGGCAGCAGCGAUCGGCGGUGGCUGCACGGGAACGAAUAUGGAGCUCAUUUCCCAGCACCCACUGCAAGGUCACCUCCACCAUGGCCUCCUGCUGCCUCUCAGCGCUGACGCUAGCAAGCGCUGCUGAUGCUGCCAUCCUGGAGCUGAGGCUUGUGCUUAACGUGGGAAGGCAGCAGCAUCUGUCCCUCACCGCUUCCCUGUUAGCGUGCUGCUACGAAGGCAAAAAGCCAUCUGCCUGCAGAGGUUGAGUUCCACGUUCAGUGACAUUUGCUAACCCAAGAAGAGAAAUCACCACUGUGGGGAGACCAGGCCCAUGGCUCUUCAUGUGAUACCAAAUCUCCUGACGUGCCCUUCUGGCGACUGCUGGAAGAAUCUCAACGUGGGGUGAUGGUCCUGUGCUGCUCCUGCCUGGAUGUCUCCUCUUCCUCAUAAGUCAUGCACCCAAGUGGAUGCCGGCUCCGGGCUGGCUUGGUUUCUGUCCUACCCCAGCGUGCCACCUGCCCACAGCGCUUUGCCCGUUCUUGAGC